UUGGAGGGCAAGUCUGGUGCCAGCAGCCGCGGUAAUUCCAGCUCCAAUAGCGUAUAUUAAAGUUGUUGCAGUUAAAAAGCUCGUAGUUGAAUUUCGGGAUCAAUAUAUCGGUCGUGCCAUCGGUACGUACUGGUAUGAUUGGUUUCUCCUUUCUGACGAACCAUGAUGUCAUUAAUUUGGUGUUAUGGGAUGUUAGGACUGUUACUUUGAAAAAAUUAGAGUGUUUAAAGCAGGCUUUGGCUUGAAUACAUUAGCAUGGAAUAAUGAAAUAGGACGUUCGAACCUAUUUUGUUGGUUUCUAGGAUCAACGUAAUGAUUAAUAGGGAUAGUUGGGGGCAUUAGUAUUCAAUUGUCAGAGGUGAAAUUCUUGGAUUUAUUGAAGACUAACUACUGCGAAAGCAUUUGCCAAGGAUGUUUUCAUUAAUCAAGAACGAAAGUUAGGGGAUCGAAGACGAUCAGAUACCGUCGUAGUCUUAACCAUAAACUAUGCCGACUAGGGAUCGGAUGAUGUUAAUUUUUUAAUGACUCAUUCGGCGCCUUACGGGAAACCAAAGUGUUUGGGUUC
rnacentral:rRNA from 1 species